rnacentral:rRNA from 1 species
CCUACGGGAGGCAGCAGUGAGGAAUAUUGGUCCAUGGGCGGGAGCCUGAACCAGCCAAGCCGCGUGAGGGACGAAGGUACAGCGUAUCGUACACCUCUUUUGUCAGGGAACAAAGGCGGGGACUAGUCCCCGGAUGAGGGUACCUGAAGAAAAAGCAUCGGCUAACUCCGUGCCAGCAGCCGCGGUAAUACGGAGGAGGCGAGCGUUAUCCGGAUUUAUUGGGGUUAACGGGUCCUCAUGCGGCCUGUUAAGUCAGCGGGAAAAGCCCGGGGCUCAACACCGGCGAGCCGUUUAAACUGGCGGGAGGGAGUUGGGGAGAGGUACGCGGAAUGCGCGGGGUAGCGGUGAAAUGCGUAGAUAGCGGGCAGAACCCCGAUUGCGAAGGCAGCGUACCGGCUCCAAACUGACGCUGAGGCACGAAGGCGGGGGGAUCGAACAGGAGUAGAUACCCGAGUAGUC